GCGGAUGUGGCGGAAUUGGCAGACGCGCAAGGUUCAGGUCCUUGUGGCCCUUACGGGCCGUGGAGGUUCAAGUCCUCUCAUCCGCACCA
rnacentral:tRNA from 2 species